CUUCAACAAGCGUUCGAGCGUUGCACCAAGCAGCUUAAUCCCAAUGCUGACAUCUCCGGCACUUUUCGAAAAUGUCUGUUACUAGAAGAAGGAAUCUUCAAUGAAGUGGAAGAUCGAGACAUUAGAGGAGCUUUGAAGGCUUUGACUUAUUUGACCGCAAGAGGAGUGAAACGUGAUUUAUUCGGACUAGAUAUGAGUCCUGCCGCUACUGUUGCUUUGCCUCUAAUCAAAUGAAUACCGGAAGCAGAAUGGCUACCAAAUGUACAACUUCCGUCACCACAUUUGUCAAUAAUUUGUUUAUCAGAACAGUGGAAAAAAGGGAAAUAUGUUGUUGAAGUAUCUCCAAAGAAAUUCAUCAAGGUGG